rnacentral:ncRNA from 1 species
GGCCGUCGACAGGGGAGCGAGCAAUCGCUGAGAGUGCCCAUCGUGGGCAGACCCUCGAACCUGAUCCGGGCCUCCAGCGGGAGGGCGAUACCGGCGUAGGGAGUCGAGCACCUCUCCGG